rnacentral:rRNA from 1 species
UUGACCUCGGAUCAGGUAGGGAUACCCGCUGAACUUAAGCAUAUCAAUAAGCGGAGGAAAAGAAACCAACAGGGAUUGCCUCAGUAACGGCGAGUGAAGCGGCAAGAGCUCAAAUUUGAAAGCUGGCCCCCCCGGGGCCCGCGUUGUAAUUUGCAGAGGAUGCUUCGGGAGCGGCCCCCAUCUAAGUGCCCUGGAACGGGCCGUCAUAGAGGGUGAGAAUCCCGUCUGGGAUGGGGUGCCCGCGCCCGUGUGAAGCUCCUUCGACGAGUCGA